AUGAACGGCGUCAACAAGGGAUCCGCCAUCUCGCUCUUGCUGAGACCGACCGAAGAGAACACGACGACGAAGCGCUGUCGAGUUGUAACCUCGCAGGGUGCAUGUUUCGAGGCGAAAGCAUCGCAGUACGCUAGCCGUCAUUAGUCGAGUUGAAAUAGGUGGCAGCGUUGGUGAGAGUGCAUGACGCCAGUGUGAUUUGGAUUCUCAAUUUCUGGAUUACGCGAAAUUGUUCACAAUUUCAAAACAAAAGGAAUCGGCGAAUUACAUGUGGUGCGUACGGCUUAGGUGUGCAAGUGAAAUGGAAUGCUUCUAACCAGUCGUGUUGUUUGUUUGGGAAAUUACGCGGUGUAUUUUGUUAAUUCAAUGAAACAAGUGUAUUUUUAUGUUAUCUUUUAAGUUGAAAUUGAAGUUGAGAAGAUCUAAUUGAAGUUUAAAAGAAAUUAAGAAUAAUAAUAAGACGCUUCAAUACCAGUAAAUUUAAAAUGAUAUUGUUUUAGAAAGUGAUAAAGUGAAAAAUUAUGCAUAGAGCAAGUGAUAACACUUCGGUAUCUCUAAAUAUUGUAAUUUUCAUAUAUACAAAAAAAUGAAACCGAAACGGAAAAGUUUUAUGCGCCGAAAAACACCAUAUUCGUAAAUUGAUCCACAAUAUCCUUAUGUUGAAAUGGGUGUGAUUGUGAUAGUAAACCAAUAUUUAUCACGAAUCGGAUUGUGGGACGAUUGGUAACACCGACUGUUCGAGCAGAAAUAAUGGAAGGAUCAAAACAUCACAUUCCCUGGUACCGAAAGCAUGAUACGGACAACAAUACUUCUCGAAUGUUUUGAUACGUUAACGUCACCUGACGACGGCAACAUAUCCACAAAAGCGGAAAGAAAUCGAAAAGACUGAUCAUCAUAAUCACUUUACCGAUGUGGAAUAAUGUUGCGACAGAACAACUGACUUUUUUACGGUAUUUUUUGAUAGUAAUGUUCUGUGAUAGCUAUUAUUGGAAAAGAUAAGCAUAACUGUUAAUAAAAUGAAAUUUAAUGUGGUAUUUUGUAUAAA